GACUUUGAUGUAUAUUGGCUACACGGCUUCCACUUACAAUUACAGGCUUCGAAUAGUUAACAGUUAAUACUGUUGUGAAGUAAGGUUAUUCCGCAGUGCAGUGUUCAUGUUAGAACACGUAGGAAAAAUGUAUUCCCAAAGGUCGACUCGUCUCACGCAAAGCUUUUUCCACGUUAAUUGUUUCCAAUGUACGUAUCGUGUGCUGUUUUGAAAAUACAAGCGUUCCACGCGAUAAAGUAACCGAAGGUAGCAACAUUGCCACCGUGUCUGUUCCCAUGUCGAAUACACGCACUGUCGUUCGUUUGACAAAGUGAUCGUAAACGCGAACACACUUUUAUUGUGCGUACAAAGCAAACGCGUCAAGUUGGUGUGAUUCCCAAAGGUCUUAGCCUUCCACUGACGCAUACCUGAACUUUACCGGUAGGGUAACGAGAAACGUCAGGGAAACGAAGCUUUGUCAGCAAUCUAUUUACUCCGAUCUUAACAUAAACGAAUGGAAGUCGAAUCUUGUUGAUAUACGCCUGUAAGAACUGUAUGGGAUAGAGGAACUUCAGUACGACUGAGAAGAAACUUUUGCCGCGAGAAUAAUUGAUCUUGCUAGACGUGGAAGACGAAUGAUCGUCGAAGUCCGACUAUUGAAAAACCUAAGAAACGCUGACAAAGGAGGGAAUUUUUCAAUGAAAUUCAAUUAGUCCGACAAUUCGUGGAUAUCUUCGCACAUCUUUCUUUAUAAAUGAUUUGAGUGCCCAAUAAAACUACUUGAAUAAUGAUUACAUUAAAUUCAAGAAAACAUUGCAUUAAGUAAAAAUAGGAGAAAUCAACUCUGUCUUAAACGAUACUCGUAAUCAUCGUAUGCAAUGACUUUCAAAAUUGUUGCAACGUCGUUUGAAACUGAACAACUUUUUAACAAUUGAACCGCGUGACCGGUAUUUUUUGAGAAGUUAGAAGCAUUAAUUUACUAGACGACGUAUAAGACAAUUUUCUAAAAAUUGCAACUGGUCAGAAACGCGA